UUGACGGAUUCGAAAAUCCCGGACGCCCAGGCCAGUUGGGAAAAAGCCUUGACUACGGUCCUGGGCGCCAUGGGCGGUUCGAACUACAUUCACCAUGCGG
rfam:Spirochaeta sp. JC202, whole genome shotgun sequence.